GUCUCUCUUGAGUGGAUCCUGAGUACGACGGAGCACGUGAAAUUCCGUCGGAAUCUGGGAGGACCAUCUCCUAAGGCUAAAUACUCUCUAGUGACCGAUAGUGAACCAGUACCGUGAGGGAAAGGUGAAAAGCACCCCGGAAGGGGAGUGAAAUAGAACCUGAAACCGUGUGCUUACAAGUAGUCAGAGCCCGUUAAUGGGUGAUGGCGUGCCUUUUGUAGAAUGAACCGGCGAGUUACGAUUUGAUGCAAGGUUAAGCAGUAAAUGUGGAGCCGUAGCGAAAGCGAGUCUGAAUAGGGCGUUUAGUAUUUGGUCGUAGACCCGAAACCAGGUGAUCUACCCUUGGUCAGGUUGAAGUUCAGGUAACACUGAAUGGAGGACCGAACCGACUUACGUUGAAAAGUGAGCGGAUGAACUGAGGGUAGCGGAGAAAUUCCAAUCGAACCUGGAGAUAGCUGGUUCUCUCCGAAAUAGCUUUAGGGCUAGCCUCAAGUGAUGAUUAUUGGAGGUAGAGCACUGUUUGGACGAGGGGCCCCUCUCGGGUUACCGAAUUCAGACAAACUCCGAAU
rnacentral:rRNA from 1 species